AAGGUAUAGGUGAUGGCCAGGGACGAAGAGCAGCCAUUUUGUGCAUAGAUAUAGGAUCGGCUGUUGGGAAACAUACAUUAGUGUUAGUGUGGUAUGGUUGACCAAAGGAUGAUCAGUUACAGACAGAUCGUCAUGUGAUUUGUGCUGAAUUUCGAUUCAAUGCCAGUUGUGAGUCCUGUAAUCGUAACUCAAGUUUAUUAGGCACUAGAUACAGAAGCUCGUACUAGCAUUUUUCUUGUACUGGUAUAUUACCAUCACAGUACUGCCAUAUUUUUGUCGGCAUCACUGGGCACAGUUGGGAAGAGGUACACAGAUACAGGAGGCUCCUUACCAUCCCAAUAUCUAUUCAACCCUAUAAUGUUUAUAUUUUUAAAAAUUUAGAAUAAUAUUUUUGUAUUUACUUCUUCCAGUAGAUCGUUGAAUGUUACAACUGCUACCAGUACUAGGAUCUGAAUGAAGACCAUGUUGGGGUCUUUUGCUGGAACCACUUAUACUUGAUGAUGGUGGCUGAUAUAUGGUAGUCGGCAGGGCUGUCUGGUCCCAGUGGUGGUGGUUCUUGGGCUGGUUUUCUGUGUAGUAGUGAGGGCUAUUCCCUUGCCACUAUCACUUAUUACCUGCCUGACAGCAUCAUUGACCGUGUUUCUUAGGCUGUUGGCAGAUUUUUCAGAAUAUACAAUAUAAUAUUUGAUAAUAAUGUAAAAUUAUUACUUCAAGUCAAUUAUACCAUUUCUCUCCUUGCUAUGCUUUCUAGGUGUGCUUGUAGGUUAACUCUCUCACCUUUGCUAAUUUUAAUGUUUUUAUAAUGCGUUUUGCUAGUGA
rnacentral:lncRNA from 1 species